rnacentral:rRNA from 1 species
GACGAACGCUGGCGGCGUGCCUAAUACAUGCAAGUUGAGCGCUGAAGGUUGGUACUUGUACCAACUGGAUGAGCAGCGAACGGGUGAGUAACGCGUGGGGAAUCUGCCUUUGAGCGGGGGACAACAUUUGGAAACGAAUGCUAAUACCGCAUAAAAACUUUAAACACAUGUUUUAAGUUUGAAAGAUGCAAUUGCAUCACUCAAAGAUGAUCCCGCGUUGUAUUAUCUAGUUGGUGAGGUAAAGGCUCACCAAGGCGAUGAUACAUAGCCGACCUGAGAGGGUGAUCGGCCACAUUGGGACUGAGGCACGGCCCAAACUCCUACGGGAGGCAGCAGUAGGGAAUCUUCGGCAAUGGACGAAAGUCUGACCGAGCAACGCCGCGUGAGUGAAGAAGGUUUUCGGAUCGUAAAACUCUGUUGGUAGAGAAGAACGUUGGUGAGAGUGGAAAGCUCAUCAAGUGACGGUAACUACCCAGAAAGGGACGGCUAACUACGUG